GGUAAGGUGUCAGAGUGGUCGAUCGUACCUGACUCGAAAUCAGGUGUCCCUGCAAGGGGACCGUGGGUUCGAAUCCCACCCUUACCG
rnacentral:tRNA from 1 species